rnacentral:RNase_P_RNA from 1 species
GCAGCAGGCCGUUCCAUCGUGGCGCCAACGGUGCCAAGGAAAGUCCGGACAACACAGAGCACCAUGCUUCCUAACAGGAAGAUAUCCGUGAGGGUAUAGAAGUGUAACAGAAAAUAACCGCCCCUGAGCUAAGGCGAAGGAGGCAAGGAUGAAAAGGCGAGGUAAGAGCUCACCGGUCCCUGUGGUGACACAGAGACCCGUACACCUGAUGGGUUGAAAGACCAUGUAUACCGGCUAUAAGGAUUGCUCGUCCGAUGCCGGGGGGUGGGUCGUAUGAUCCCGUCAGUGAUGGCGGGGCAAGAUAAAUGAUGGAAGCCGGUUCAUAUUUCUCUUGCAGAAGAAGGACCGGUACAGAAUCCGGCUUACAGGCCAGCUGCUUUU